UACAGAGGGUGCAAGCGUUGUUCGGAUUCAUUGGGCGUAAAGGGUGUGUAGGUGGCGCCGUAAGUCGGGUGUGAAAUCUCGGGGCUUAACUCCGAAACUGCAUUCGAUACUGCGGUGCUUGAGGACUGGAGAGGAGACUGGAAUUCAUGGUGUAGCAGUGAAAUGCGUAGAGAUCAUGAGGAAGACCAGUGGCGAAGGCGGGUCUCUGGACAGUUCCUGACACUGGGACACGAAGGCCAGGGGAGCAAACGGG
rnacentral:rRNA from 1 species